rnacentral:rRNA from 1 species
CCUACGGGAGGCUGCAGUGGGGAAUAUUGCACAAUGGGGGAAACCCUGAUGCAGCGACGCCGCGUGAGUGAAGAAGUAUUUCGGUACGUAAAGCUCUAUCAGCAGGGAAGAAAAUGACGGUACCUGACCAAGAAGCCCCGGCGAACUACGGGCCAGCAGCCGCGGUAAUACGUAGGGGGCAAGCGUUAUCCGGAUUUACUGGGUGAAAAGGGAGCGUAGACGGCAGCGCAAGUCUGGAGUGAAAUGCCGGGGCCCAACCCCGGAACUGCUUUGGAAACUGUGCAGCUGGAGUGCAGGAGAGGUAAGCGGAAUUCCUAUUGUAGCGGUUACCUGCGUAGAUAUUAGGAGG